rnacentral:rRNA from 1 species
UACGAAGGGAGCAAGCGUUGUUCGGCAUUACUGGGCGUAAAGCGCGCGUAGGUGGUCAUACAAGUCAGGGGUGAAAUCCCGGGGCUCAACCCCGGAACUGCCUCUGAAACUGUAUGACUUGAGUAUCGGAGGGGAUGGUGGAAUUUCUAAUGUAGCGGUGAAAUGCGUAGAUAUUAGAAGGAACACCGGUGGCGAAGGCGACCAUCUGGACGAUUACUGACACUGAGGCGCGAAAGCGUGGGGAGCAAACAGG